AUUGAACGCUGGCGGCAUGCUUUACACAUGCAAGUCGAACGGCAGCACGGGGGCAACCCUGGUGGCGAGUGGCGAACGGGUGAGUAACACAUCGGAACGUGUCCCCUUGUGGGGGAUAACCUGGCGAAAGCCAGGCUAAUACCGCAUGAGCUCGAGAGAGGAAAGCGGGGGAUCGAAAGACCACGCGCGGGAGGAGCGGCAGAUGUCCGAUUAGCUAGUUGGUGGGGUAAAGGACCAACAAGGCGACGAUCGGUAGCUGGUCUGAGAGGAUGAUCAGCCACACUGGGACUGAGACACGGCCCAGACUCCGGCGGGAGGCAGCAGUGGGGAAUUUUGGACAAUGGGGGCAACCCUGAUCCAGCCAUGCCGCGUGAGUGAAGAAGGCCUUCGGGUUGUAAAGCUCUUUCGGUGGGAACGAAACGGGCACGGCUAGUACCCGUGUUCAAUGACGGUACUCACAGAAGAAGCACCGGCUAACUACGUGCCAGCCGCCGCAGUAACAC
rnacentral:rRNA from 1 species